AUUGAACGCUGGCGGCAGGCCUAACACAUGCAAGUCGAGCGGGGAAAGGUAGCUUGCUACCUGACCUAGCGGCGGACGGGUGAGUAAUGCUUAGGAAUCUGCCUAUUAGUGGGGGACAACAUUCCGAAAGGAAUGCUAAUACCGCAUACGCCCUACGGGGGAAAGCAGGGGAUCUUCGGACCUUGCGCUAAUAGAUGAGCCUAAGUCAGAUUAGCUAGUUGGUGGGGUAAAGGCCUACCAAGGCGACGAUCUGUAGCGGGUCUGAGAGGAUGGACCGCCACACUGGGACUGAGACACGGCCCAGACUCCGACGGGAGGCAGCAGUGGGGAAUAUUGGACAAUGGGCGAAAGCCUGAUCCAGCCAUGCCGCGUGUGUGAAGAAGGCCUUUUGGUUGUAAAGCACUUUAAGCGAGGAGGAGGCUACCGAGAUUAAUACUCUUGGAUAGUGGACGUUACUCGCAGAAUAAGCACCGGCUAACUCUGUGCCAGCCGCCGCCGUAAAAC
rnacentral:rRNA from 1 species